AUGCCACGGGGUGCAUGGCACUGCCUGCACCAUCAUGGCCCUUUGAACACCUUCCUCAUGGAACCAGCCAUGUGCUGGCCACCCCAGCCUCAGAAAAAGUGGCUUUUACUUCUCCAUUCAGGGAUAGGGUUUAGCAAAGGGUUAGGGCUCAAAACAAUAAAAGUCCUAGAACACCAUGCACAUUACAGCUACAAAAAAAAAAUACCUUGGGGAAAAUGGCAUAGCCCUAACAUUAUCUCCUCCAAAAUUUUCUCAUUGGCACCAAAAAGGUGCUGGCACAUAAGAUGUAGCAAAAUACCCCUUUUGCUGCCUCUCCUAGGGUUAGGGUUACUCCUAGGAUUAGGGCUCAGAACCCAAAGAGCCCAGAACUCGUGGGACUCUACAGAUAAAAAAGGCAUGCCAAGGGCAACACAAAACACAGUGGAGACCCAUCCACACUUUUCUGCUUGGCACCAACCUAAACCCAAGGCUGAUUUCCUGCUGUCCCUAGGGUUAAGGUUGUGCCUAGGGUUAGGGUUCAGAAAACAACAAAGCCCAGUUUUAAGCAGGUGGAUAAGGCAUGACAAGGGGAAUUCAGUGCUGCUACGACAUGGCUCCCUCCACAGAUUUCAAUUUGCUCCACCUUCUCCCCCAGAGGUUUCAGUGCUGUGCCUAGGGUUAGUCUUACGCCCAGGGUUAGGGUUACACCUAGGGUUAGGGUCCAGAAAACCAAAGCCCAGAGCUUCAAGCACACUGCUGCUACAAAAGGCACACCAAGGGGAACACAGGACUGAUACAUUGUGCCUCCCUUCACACUUUACUGGGCACCACCCUCAAUCCUGUCAAGUGCUUUGCCUAGGCUUAGGGUUAGUCCUAGGUUUAGGUUUCAGUAAACCACAAAGGCCAGAGCUCCAAGCACACUCCAGCUACAGAGGGCAUGCCAAGGUGAAUACAGGACAGCCACAGCAUUGUUCCCUGCACACCUUUCUGCUUGGCACUUGCAUCACCCCCAUGAGGCUUUUACUGCUGCACCUAGGGUUAGGCCUAUGCCUUUGUUUAGAGUUCAGAAAACCACAAAACCCAGAGCUCCAGGAACUCUGCAGCUGCAAAAUGCAUGCUAAGGUGAGCAGGGCAUUUCCCCAGUAUGGCUCCCUCCCCAUCUUUCCUUGGGGCAUGAGCCAUGUGCUGGCCAUGUCAGCUUCAGGAAAAGACUGCUUUUCCUGCUCCAUUUAG
rnacentral:lncRNA from 1 species